rnacentral:rRNA from 1 species
UACGAAGGGUGCAAGCGUUACUCGGAAUUACUGGGCGUAAAGCGUGCGUAGGCGGUUCGUUAAGUCUGUCGUGAAAGCCCUGGGCUCAACCUGGGAAUUGCGAUGGAUACUGGCGAGCUAGAGUACGGUAGAGGAUGGUGGAAUUCCCGGUGUAGCGGUGAAAUGCGUAGAUAUCUGGAGGAACACCGGUGGCGAAGGCGGCAUCCUGGACCGGCAUUGACGCUGAGGAGCGAAAGCCAGGGGAGGCAAACGGG